AAAAGAAAAAGAAAAAACACACCCCGACCCCCGACCUAUUCGAUCCCCAAUCUCGCCCCUCUCUCUGUCUUUCGCCACCCACACACCCUAACCCUAACCCGACCAAGCCGCCGCCCCCGACCUGCGCGCCGCCGCCCCAACCCACCCUGCGGUCCCCUCGCGCCACCAAAUCUCGGACCCCGGCCUCCCUUCCCUUAGUCCGCAGUAGCAGCAGCGCCGUUUGCGACGGAGGAGCACCGUCCGCCGCCGAGGAACAGCAGCGCUGUCCUCCAGCAAGGAUCCGCCGCGCGCCGGGAACAGCGGCACCAUACGCCGGUGGAUCCGCUGCAACAACUGCUGUUGAGGAGCAGCCCGCCGUUCUUCUUCCUCCACUGGCGACCCUUGUCCCGGCCCCGGCUCCAGAUCUCAUCUCAACAAUCGGGUGGUUCCAGGUCUAGGUCAUGGCAUUAGUGGUGUGGUGCUGUUAAUGUUUUCUCAAUGGAUAGCAGUCGCUCGAUGGAUGGGAAUUGCUACUCUUGAAUGCCUCAAUGAUGAACCCUUUUUGCACAUGACAUUUCUGAAUCUCUCCUCACGGCAGCAGGUGAUUUUCUCAUUCCAGAACAAUACCCCUGGUGAUGUGUGGAGUAGGCUAUGUCAUCCUCUGACCACAACGAUUGGCUGCUACUGAUGACACGAGGGCUCAUUAAUAGCAUGGUUCUGCUCAUUGAAACAGGAGAGGCGCUGAACAAGACAGAAAAAGCACAAAUGGCCAUGUACACUUGAUUAAAGAUUGAUGAAUCUGAGAGCAGGAGAGGCGCUGAACAAGACAGAAAAACACAAAUGGCCAAGUACACUUGAUUGAAGAUUGAUGAAUCUGAGAGCAGGGACAAAUGGCAAAAUGUAGCAAGGCACCAAGUUGAUGUACAAUGUUCUGGUGAUUGCUUUGUUCAUAACAUGGUCAACACAUUUUGUUCAUAUGGAAGUUCAUGUCGGCAUGGUAACUAAAGACUUGGGCUCUUCCAUAAUAUUUUGUACAUUAGUCAAGUGAUUGAACAAUUGGUCUCAUAGGAACUUGGCCAUCACAUUUUGUAACAGACCGCGGCUUGAAUUCCAGCUUAUGUAUGUCCUUAAUACACUGUAGCUAACUUGAGUAAAGAAGACUAAUGAAUCUUCUAUAUAUGUUGAAUGGUAUCUUGUGCAUUGAUCAA